ACUCAAAUGAAUUGACGGGGACCCGCACAAGCGGUGGAUGAUGUGGAUUAAUUCGAUGCAACGCGAAAAACCUUACCUACCCUUGACAUGGUCCGGAUCCUGCAGAGAUGCGGGAGUGCUCGCAAGAGAACGGAUACACAGGUGCUGCAUGGCUGUCGUCAGCUCGUGUCGUGAGAUGUUGGGUUAAGUCCCGCAACGAGCGCAACCCUUGUCAUUAAUUGCCAGCAUGUAAUGGUGGGCACUUUAAUGAGACUGCCGGUGACAAACCGGAGGAAGGUGGGGAUGACGUCAAGUCCUCAUGGCCCUUAUGGGUAGGGCUUCACACGUCAUACAAUGGUGCAUACAGAGGGUUGCCAACCCGUGAGGGGGAGCUAAUCUCAGAAAGUGCAUCGUAGUCCGGAUUGGAGUCUGCAACCCGACUCCAUGAAGUUGGAAUCGCUAGUAAUCGCGGAUCAGCAUGUCGCGGUGAAUACGUUCCCGGGUCUUGUACACACCGCCCGU
rnacentral:rRNA from 1 species